GAGUUUGAUUCUGGCUCAGAACGAACGCUGGCGGCGCGUCUUAAGCAUGCAAGUCGAACGGUAAGGGAGAGCUUGCUCUCCCCUAGAGUGGCGGACUGGUGAGUAACGCGUGGGUGACCUGCCCUGAAGAUGGGGAUAGCUAGUAGAAAUAUUAGAUAAUACCGAAUGUGCUCAUCUACAUAAAGGUAAAUGAGGAAAGGAGCUACGGCUCCGCUUCAGGAUGGGCCCGCGUCCCAUUAGCUGGUUGGUGAGGUAAAGGCCCACCAAGGCAACGAUGGGUAUCCGGCCUGAGAGGGUGAACGGACACAUUGGGACUGAGAUACGGCCCAAACUCCUACGGGAGGCAGCAGCUAAGAAUCUUCCGCAAUGGACGAAAGUCUGACGGAGCGACGCCGUGUGAAUGAAGAAGGCUGAAAGGUUGUAAAAUUCUUUUGCAGAUGAAGAAUAAACACAGGAGGGAAUG
rnacentral:rRNA from 1 species